rnacentral:rRNA from 1 species
GUGAGGAAUAUUGGUCAAUGGGCGCGAGCCUGAACCAGCCAAGUCGCGUGAGGGAUGAAGGUUCUAUGGAUCGUAAACCUCUUUUAUAAGGGAAUAAAGUGCGGGACGUGUCCCGUUUUGUAUGUACCUUAUGAAUAAGGAUCGGCUAACUCCGUGCCAGCAGCCGCGGUAAUACGGAGGAUCCGAGCGUUAUCCGGAUUUAUUGGGUUUAAAGGGUGCGUAGGCGGCCUUUUAAGUCAGCGGUGAAAGUCUGUGGCUCAACCAUAGAAUUGCCGUUGAAACUGGGGGGCUUGAGUAUGUUUGAGGCAGGCGGAAUGCGUGGUGUAGCGGUGAAAUGCUUAGAUAUCACGCAGAACCCCGAUUGCGAAGGCAGCCUGCCAAGCCAUGACUGACGCUGAUGCACGAAAGCGUGGGGAUCAAACAGGAUUAGAUACCCCUGUAGUCC